UACGAAGGGGGCAAGCGUUGUCCGGAAUCAUUGGGCGUAAAGGGCGCGUAGGUGGCGGGACAAGCGUGCGGUGAAAGCCUGGGGCUCAACCCCGGGUCGGCCGUGCGAACUGUUUUGCUUGAGCACUGUAGAGGCAGGCGGAAUUCCGGGUGUAGCGGUGGAAUGCGUAGAGAUCCGGAAGAACACCGGUGGCGAAGGCGGCCUGCUGGGCAGUAGCUGACACUGAGGCGCGACAGCGUGGGGAGCAAACAGG
rnacentral:rRNA from 1 species